GGAUUCCCGCCGAGUAAGAACUAGCCAUUCGCUCGUAGCGAGUCUUGGAGGACUAAAGGUAACUCUAGUCUUUAAGCGUAGACAGUUAGGUAGCGGGCCGAAAGCCAAAUGGUUGAAGGGAUGGAGCUCCAUAAACUUUAGUAAACCGAGAGGGCUGAUGCUUUACCUGCAGCAGAAAGCUACAUUUAAUCCUUCGUCAAAAGCUAGACGGAUUAAACCUCUCUGGAGUCAGAGACCU
rfam:Bacillus sp. FJAT-21945 super7, whole genome shotgun sequence.